rnacentral:rRNA from 1 species
CCCCUAGUAACUGCGAGUGAAGCGGGAAAAGCUCAAAUUUGGAAUCUGGCGUCUCCGGCGCCCGAGUUGUAUUCUGGAGAAGCGUUUUCCGUGCCGGACCGUGUACAAGUCCCUUGGAACAGGGCGUCACAGAGGGUGAGAAUCCCGUCUUUGACACGGACCCCCGGUGCUCUGCGAUGCGCUCUCGAAGAGUCGAGUUGUUUGGGAAUGCAGCUCAAAAUGGGUGGUAAAUUCCAUCUAAAGCUAAAUAUUGGCGAGAGACCGAUAGCGAACAAGUACCGUGAGGGAAAGAUGAAAAGCACUUUGGAAAGAGAGUAAAACAGUACGUGAAAUUGUUGAAAGGGAAACGCUUGAAGUCAGUCGCGUCCUCUGGAACUCAGCCUUGCUUCUGCUCGGUGCACUUUCCAGUUCGACGGGCCAGCAUCGGUUUCGAGCGGCGGACACUGGCGGGGGGAAGGUGGCGGCUCCGGCCGCGUUAUAGCCCCUCGUCGCAAACGCCGCCCGGGACCGAGGAAUCCGGCGCAAGCCUGGGAUGCUGGCGUAAUGGCUUUAAACGACCCGUCUUGAAACACGGACCAAGGAGUGCUACGUGCUCGCGAGUGUUUGGGUGGAAAACCCGGACGCGCAAUGAAAGUGAAAGUCGAUACCCCUCGCGGGGGCACCGACGCCCGAGCCUGAUGUUUUCGGAAGGCCUUGCGGUAGAGCGAGUGCGUUGCGACCCGAAAGAUGGUGAACUAUUCCUGAGGAGGGCGAAGCCAGAGGAAACUCUGGUGGAGGCUCGUAGCGGUUCUGACGUGCAAAUCGAUCGCAGGACUUGGG